rnacentral:rRNA from 1 species
UACGGAGGGUGCAAACGUUGCUCGGAAUCAUUGGGCGUAAAGCGCACGUAGGCGGCUCGUUAAGUCGGUUGUGAAAGCCCUCGGCUCAACCGAGGAAGUGCAAUCGAAACUGGCGAGCUUGAAUAUGGAAGAGGGUCGCGGAAUUCCCGGUGUAGAGGUGAAAUUCGUAGAUAUCGGGAGGAACACCAGUGGCGAAGGCGGCGACCUGGGCCAAUAUUGACGCUGAGGUGCGAAAGCGUGGGAGCAAACAGGAUUGAGAACCU